rnacentral:rRNA from 1 species
UACUUGUACCUGGUGGCGAGCGGCGGACGGGUGAGUAAUGCCUAGGAAUCUGCCUAGUAGUGGGGGAUAACGUCCGGAAACGGGCGCUAAUACCGCAUACGUCCUACGGGAGAAAGUGGGGGAUCUUCGGACCUCACGCUAUUAGAUGAGCCUAGGUCGGAUUAGCUAGUUGGUGAGGUAAUGGCUCACCAAGGCUACGAUCCGUAACUGGUCUGAGAGGAUGAUCAGUCACACUGGAACUGAGACACGGUCCAGACUCCUACGGGAGGCAGCAGUGGGGAAUAUUGGACAAUGGGCGAAAGCCUGAUCCAGCCAUGCCGCGUGUGUGAAGAAGGUCUUCGGAUUGUAAAGCACUUUAAGUUGGGAGGAAGGGCAGUUACCUAAUACGUGAUUGUUUUGACGUUACCGACAGAAUAAGCACCGGCUAACUCUGUGCCAGCAGCCGCGGUAAUACAGAGGGUGCAAGCGUUAAUCGGAAUUACUGGGCGUAAAGCGCGCGUAGGUGGUUUGUUAAGUUGAAUGUGAAAGCCCCGGGCUCAACCUGGGAACUGCAUCCAAAACUGGCAAGCUAGAGUAUGGUAGAGGGGUGGUGGAAUUUCCUGUGUAGCGGUGAAAUGCGU